rnacentral:rRNA from 1 species
UGCAGUCGAGCGCAGUCCUUCGGGACCGAGCGGCGGACGGGUUAGUAACGCGUGGGAAUAUACCCAGAUCUAAGGAAUAGCCUCGGGAAACUGAGAGUAAUACCUUAUACGCCCUUCGGGGGAAAGAUUUAUCGGAUUUGGAUUAGCCCGCGUUAGAUUAGAUAGUUGGUGGGGUAAUGGCCUACCAAGUCUACGAUCUAUAGCUGGUUUUAGAGGAUGAUCAGCAACACUGGGACUGAGACACGGCCCAGACUCCUACGGGAGGCAGCAGUGGGGAAUCUUAGACAAUGGGCGAAAGCCUGAUCUAGCCAUGCCGCGUGUGUGAUGAAGGCCCUAGGGUCGUAAAGCACUUUCGCCAGAGAUGAUAAUGACAGUAUCUGGUAAAGAAACCCCGGCUAACUCCGUGCCAGCAGCCGCGGUAAUACGGAGGGGGUUAGCGUUGUUCGGAAUUACUGGGCGUAAAGCGCGCGUAGGCGGACUGGAAAGUUGGGGGUGAAAUCCCAGGGCUCAACCCUGGAACUGCCUCCAAAACUAUCAGUCUAGAGUUCGAGAGAGGUGAGUGGAAUUCCGAGUGUAGAGGUGAAAUUCGUAGAUAUUCGGAGGAACACCAGUGGCGAAGGCGGCUC